UACGAGUGGUGCAAGCGUUAUUCGGAAUUACUGGGCGUAAAGGGUGCGUAGGCGGCGCGGUAAGUCGGAUGUGAAAUCUCGGAGCUUAACUCCGAAACUGCAUUCGAUACUGCCGUGCUUGAGGACUGGAGAGGAGACUGGAAUUUACGGUGUAGCGGUGAAAUGCGUAGAUAUCGUAAGGAAGACCAGUGGCGAAGGCGGGUCUCUGGACAGUUCCUGACGCUGAGGCACGAAGGCCAGGGGAGCAAACGGG
rnacentral:rRNA from 1 species